AGAGUUUGAUCCUGGCUCAGAACGAACGCUGGCGGCGCGUUUUAAGCAUGCAAGUCGAGCGGCAGGGGGGCUUCGGUCCCCCGAGAGCGGCGGACGGGUGAGUAACACGUGGACAACCUGCCCCCCGGUUCGGGAUAGCCCAGGGAAACCUGGAUCAAUACCGGAUGCGAGGGCGGCCGCACAAGCGGCCGUCGGGAAAGGCGCUUCGGCGCCGCCGGGGGAUGGGUCCGCGUCCCAUUAGCUAGACGGUGGGGUAACGGCCCACCGUGGCGAUGAUGGGUAGCCGGCCUGAGAGGGUGGACGGCCACAUUGGAACUGAGACACGGUCCAGACUCCUACGGGAGGCAGCAGCUAAGAAUCUUCCGCAAUGGGCGAAAGCCUGACGGAGCGACGCCGCGUGAACGAAGAAGGCCGUGAGGUUGUAAAGUUCUUUUCGGGAGGGGGAACGAGGCUGCCAGGCAAUGGGCGGCCGAUGACGUGAAUCCCGGAAUAAGCCCCGGCUAACUACGUGCCAGCAGCCGCGGUAACACGUAGGGGGCGAGCGUUGUUCGGAAUCAUUGGGCGUAAAGGGCGUGCAGGCGGCCGCCAAAGUCCGGCGUGAAAGACCCAGGCUCAACCUGGGGGGUGCGCCGGAUACUGGGCGGCUUGAGUACAGGAGGGGACGGCGGAAUUCCAGGUGUAGGGGUGAAAUCUGUAGAUAUCUGGAGGAACACCGAUGGCGAAGGCAGCCGUCUGGCCAUGUACUGACGCUGAGGCGCGAAGGUGCGGGGAGCAAACAGGUUUAGAUACCCUGGUAGUCCACACUG
rnacentral:rRNA from 1 species